AUGCAUAUCGCCGGCCGUAGGGUGCUCGUCCGCUGCGUCCUCUCCGCCAUGCCGACGUUCGCCCUCACGGUACUGAGAGCGCCAAAGAAGUUUUUCAAGGAGGUAGAUAAAGGCAGACGACGUUUUCUCUGGGCACAAGACGAAGAAGCAACCGGAGGAAAGUGUAAAGUAGCAUGGAGCGCGGUCACCACGCCAGAAUCCCACAGGGGCCUCGGCAUACAUGACUUGGACAAAUUCGCGCGCGCCCUCCGUUUGCGCUGGCUCUGGCUCUCCUGGACCCAUCCAGAGCGGCCAUGGGUCGGCACGGGCACGCCAUGCAACCAGCCGAACCAAGCUUUCUUCGCUGCCAACACGGUGGUCACCAUCGGGGAAGGCAGGACGGCGUCCUUCUGGUCAAGCCCAUGGCUUGACGGCAGGCCACUUCGGCUGGAUUACCCCACCCUCUUCGCCCGCUCCAUCCGCAAGAACAGGUCCGUCCGGGACGCGUUGCUCAACGGGCGAUGGAUCCUUGAUCUCCGCCACGGGGAAACCAGUAGCAUUGCACCCUCUGUACUCCAGCUAGCAAGGGCGAUUCGGAGAGCGGGCGACAUCAUAAACAACGACCUUAGUGACACAAUCCGCUGGACUGCUACCACCUCCGGGAGCUACUCCGCUCGCUCCGCCUACGCGGCUCAGUUCCAGGCGCCAAUGGCACCCUUCCCCUCCAAAAACGUCUAG
rnacentral:rRNA from 1 species